UACGUAGGUGGCAAGCGUUAUCCGGAAUACUGGGCGUAAAGCGCACGCAGGCGGUCUUGUAAGUUUGACGUGAAAGCUCCCGGCUUAACUGGGAGAGGUCGUUGAAUACUGCGAGACUUGAGUUUAGGAGAGGGGUGUAGAAUUCCCGGUGUAGUGGUGGAAUGCGUAGAUAUCGGGGGGAAUACCAGUGGCGAAAGCGGCACCCUAGCCUUUGACUGACGCUCAUGUGCGAAAGCGUGGGGAGCGAACGGG
rnacentral:rRNA from 1 species